rnacentral:rRNA from 1 species
UACGUAGGCAGCGAGCGUUGUUCGGAGUUACUGGGCGUAAAGCGUGCGUAGGCGGUUUUCUAAGUCUGGUGUGAAAUCUCCCGGCUCAACUGGGAGGGUGCGCUAGAAACUGGAAGGCUUGGAGUGUGGGAGAGGUAGGCGGAAUUCCUGGUGUAGCGGUGAAAUGCGUAGAUAUCAGGAGGAACACCUGUGGUGUAGACGGCUUACUGGACCAUGACUGACGCUGAGGCACGAAAGCGUGGGGAGCAAACAGG